AUACGUAGGGGGCGAGCGUUGUCCGGAUUUAUUGGGCGUAAAGGGUGCGUAGGCGGCCUUGUAAGUCAGAUGUGAAAGAUCAUGGCUUAACUGUGGUAAGCAUUUGAAACUGCAGGGCUUGAGUACAGGAGAGGAGAGUGGAAUUCCUAGUGUAGCGGUGGAAUGCGUAGAUAUUAGGAGGAAUACCAGUGGCGAAGGCGACUCUCUGGACUGAUACUGACGGUGAGGCACGAAAGCGUGGGGAGCAAACAGGAUUAGAUACCCUGGUAGGCCACGCUAUAAACGAUGAGUGCUAGGUGGCGGGGGUCAAACCUCGGUGCCGCAGUUAACACAUUAAGCACUCCGCCUGGGGAGUACGGCCGCAAGGCUGAAACUCAAAUGAAUUGACGGGG
rnacentral:rRNA from 1 species